rnacentral:rRNA from 1 species
GGGGAAUAUUGCACAAUGGGCGAAAACCUGAUGCAGCAACGCCGCGUGAGUGAUGACGGUCUUCGGAUUGUAAAGCUCUGUCUUUUGGGACGAUAAUGACGGUACCAAAGGAGGAAGCCACGGCUAACUACGUGCCAGCAGCCGCGGUAAUACGUAGGUGGCAAGCGUUGUCCGGAUUUACUGGGCGUAAAGGGAGCGUAGGCGGAUUUUUAAGUGGGAUGUGAAAUACCCGGGCUCAACUUGGGUGCUGCAUUCCAAACUGGAAGUCUAGAGUGUUGGAGAGGAAAGUGGAAUUCCUAGUGUAGCGGUGAAAUGCGUAGAGAUUAGGAAGAACAUCAGUGGCGAAGGCGGCUUUCUGGACUGUAACUGACGCUGAGGCAUGAAAGCGUGGGGAGCAAAC